rnacentral:rRNA from 1 species
CCUGGUGUCUAUGGCGCCGGUGGAACCACUCUCGAUCCCAUCCCGAACUCAGUUGUGAAACGCUGCUGCGGCUACGAUAGUUGGAGGGUUGCCUCCCGCAACAAUUGCUCGGUGCCAGGG